UGCAAGUCGAACGGCAGCACGGGAGCAAUCCUGGUGGCGAGUGGCGAACGGGUGAGUAAUACAUCGGAACGUGUCCUGUAGUGGGGGAUAGCCCGGCGAAAGCCGGAUUAAUACCGCAUACGCUCUGCGGAGGAAAGCGGGGGAUCCUUCGGGACCUCGCGCUACAGGGGCGGCCGAUGGCAGAUUAGCUAGUUGGUGGGGUAAAGGCCUACCAAGGCGACGAUCUGUAGCUGGUCUGAGAGGACGACCAGCCACACUGGGACUGAGACACGGCCCAGACUCCUACGGGAGGCAGCAGUGGGGAAUUUUGGACAAUGGGCGCAAGCCUGAUCCAGCAAUGCCGCGUGUGUGAAGAAGGCCUUCGGGUUGUAAAGCACUUUUGUCCGGAAAGAAAACCUCGUGGUUAAUACCCGUGGGGGAUGACGGUACCGGAAGAAUAAGCACCGGCUAACUACGUGCCAGCAGCCGCGGUAAUACGUAGGGUGCAAGCGUUAAUCGGAAUUACUGGGCGUAAAGCGUGCGCAGGCGGUUCGCUAAGACAGAUGUGAAAUCCCCGGGCUUAACCUGGGAACUGCAUUUGUGACUGGCGGGCUAGAGUAUGGCAGAGGGGGGUAGAAUUCCACGUGUAGCAGUGAAAUGCGUAGAGAUGUGGAGGAAUACCGAUGGCGAAGGCAGCCCCCUGGGCCAAUACUGACGCUCAUGCACGAAAGCGUGGGGAGCAAACAGGAUUAGAUACCCUGGUAGUCCACGCCCUAAACGAUGUCAACUAGUUGUCGGGUCUUCAUUGACUUGGUAACGUAGCUAACGCGUGAAGUUGACCGCCUGGGGAGUACGGUCGCAAGAUUAAAACUCAAAGGAAUUGACGGGGACCCGCACAAGCGGUGGAUGAUGUGGAUUAAUUCGAUGCAACGCGAAAAACCUUACCUACCCUUGACAUGUAUGGAACCCUGCUGAGAGGUGGGGGUGCCCGAAAAGGGAGCCAUAACACAGGUGCUGCAUGGCUGUCGU
rnacentral:rRNA from 1 species